AAAGAGCUAAAUGAUUAAUAAAGUUAAUGUGGCAAAAUUAUUUUUAAUAAUCAUUUUGAAAUGAAAUGUUAUUCGUUUUUAAAUAUAUCUAGUUUUUUUAGAAAAAAAUUUAAUUUUAAAAUUAUUAUUAAUAAAAAUUAAUUAAUUAAUUUUUAUUAAUAAUAAUUUUUAUAUUUUAAGGGAUAAGCUUUAAAUUAAAUAUUUAUAAAAAAUAAUUUUUAUUUUAAAAAUUUUAUAAUUUAUAUUGUUAAUAAAUUUUAUUUUAUUAUAAAUAAUUUUAAAAUUAAAUAAAAUUUAAUUAUUAGUUUAAUUUUUUAUAAAAAUGUUAUUUUUAAUGGUAAAAAGUUAGUUAUAAUGAUAAAAUUAGUAUAUUUAUGUUAAUUUAUAAUUUAAUUUUAAAUUAUUUUUAUUUAUUAAGUUAAUUAAAAGGAAUUCGGCAAAUAUUUAUGUUCACUUGUUUAACAAAAACAUGUCUUUUUGAUUUAAUUUAAAGUCUAAUCUGCCCACUGAUUUUUAAAAUUGAAGGGCUGCAGUAUUUUGACUGUACAAAGGUAGCAUAAUCAUUAGUCUCUUAAUUGGUGACUGGUAUGAAAGAUUGGAUGAAAUAUAUACUGUCUCUUAAUUAAUUUAUAGAAUUUAAUUUUUUAUUUAAAAAGUUAAAAUGUGUUAAAAAGACGAGAAGACCCUAUAGAGUUUUAUAAAUAAUUUUUUAAUUAGUUAUUUAUUUAUUAAAAAUUAUUAAAUUUUUAUUUAUUUUAUUGGGGUGAUAAAAAAAUAAGUUUAACUUUUUUAAAAUUUAAACAUAAAUAAGUGUAUUUAAUGAUCCAGUUUUAUUGAUUAUAAGAUUAAAUUACCUUAGGGAUAACAGCGUAAUUUUUUUUUUUAGUUCAAAUAAGAAAAAGAGUUUGCGACCUCGAUGUUGGAUUAAGAUAAAAUUUAAAUGCAAAAGUUUAAAAUUUUUG
rnacentral:rRNA from 1 species